CAGUCGCCACGGGAAUACGAACCGUGCGAACGUUAUUCGGAAUUACUGGGCUUAAAGCGCGUGUAGGCGGGUCGGCACGUCGGUCGCUGAAAUCCCCCGGCUCAACCGGGGAAGUGGCGCCGAUACGGCCGGCCUGGAGGGGGGUAGGGGGGCCUGGAACUUCCGGUGGAGCGGUGAAAUGCGUUGAGAUCGGAAGGAACGCCCGUGGCGAAAGCGAGGCCCUGGACCCUUUCUGACGCUGAGACGCGAAAGCCAGGGGAGCGAACGGGAUUAGAUACCCGAGUAGUCCCUGUCUCUUAUA
rnacentral:rRNA from 1 species